GAGAAGAGAAGAGAAGAGAAGAGAGAAAGAAACAAGAGCACUUUAUGGUGUCUCUUCUUAGAAGGGGACUAAUCCCAUUAUGAAGAACCUACCUUCAUAGCUAAAUCAUCUCUUCCCAAAGAUCCCAUCUCCAAAUGCUAAGAAAGAAUCAGUCAUGUGAACAACCGUUCUUGAUCUCAGAUUGGACAAAUUUUAACUGAUGUAAAAAGGAAGACCCCAGAUUUGUGCUUUCCAAUAUGGUAGCCACCAGCCACAUGUGCAGCCAUGGGGAUGACACUGAAGAUGAGAGCAGCAAGUUCACUGACAGUGUUGAGGAGGAGGCCGCACGUGGAAGAGCCACCUGCAGUGACAUCAGUGCCAGAACUCCUUGGGUGUCUGAACAAGGGGACUAAUAGAAGAAACACAGACCUGCCUUGUUCUCCCAAGGAAGACCUAUUCCAAGAGGAGGGGAUAUGCACAGGAGACCUUGCUCCAGACCCCAGAGCCUGGACCCUGGAACUGCCCUCCCAGCUAUGC